CGGAGAGAGGAGAAGAGAGAUGUGUUUUACAGAGCAAUCUAUUCUGCUAGUGUUGGGGGUUAAUGACUAUUGCCAAAGAUAAGUGAAUUAUCAAAGCUGUUGCUCUUGCCUCGACUCAAAAUCCAUCACAUUGCAUCGUCGCCUAAUUAAAUACGUGUUUUCCAGCAUUUACUCUGCCUGCAGUUUAUACUUCAAGCUAAUCAGCAAACAUCUAGCAACACGUUCAGCCCAUUUUGGCUGCUGGAGGAAAACACACCAGCAACCUGGGCCACUUAUGGAGAAAAAAGCAGGAGCGGGCCUACGCAGUGGCAGGUCAUAUGGAGAGCAGAGGGAGUGGAAGAGAAAAAUAAUAAUUCAUCUAUGAGGGCAAUCACACCGACAUCUAAACAAACAGAUAUGCACCUGUCACAAGCGCUCGAUGGGAAUUCAAGAAGACCCCACAUUCAUAUCCACUGCCAAACUGCAGUUGUCAGGCUUGACCGGAGUCAUCGGCCCGGCAGAUCAAUACCUCAUGAUAUGGUUUAUAUGGCCCUGCCAGAGGAGAGAGAAAGAGAGAAACAUUGAUGUGACAGGUCAGUUUCACUCAACACACAAUGCAUUGUAUGUACAAUGAUCAUUAACC